CCCUUACGCUCGUGGGAGUAAGCCUGGGAAACUGGGUCUAAUACCGGAUAUGACUCCAUGACGCAUGUUGUGGGGUGGAAAGCCUUGUGCGGCUAGGGAUGGGCCCGCGGCCUAUCAGCUUGUUGGUGGGGUGAUGGCCUACCAAGGCGACGACGGGUAGCCGGCCUGAGAGGGCGACCGGCCACACUGGGACUGAGACACGGCCCAG
rnacentral:rRNA from 1 species